rnacentral:lncRNA from 1 species
UUCCUUCCUUCCUUCCUUCCUUUCUUUCCUUCCUUCCUUCAUUCCUUCUCAUCUGGGAUUUUUUUGUCUUUCUUUCUUUCUUUCUUUCUUUCCUUCUUUCUUUCUUUCUUUCCUUCUUUCUUUCUGCCAAGCUGUAGGUCUUCCUCCCCACUCCAGGAAUUUCACAAAUAAAUCACUGAGAACAGAGCCUGCCUCACAACAAACAGCACAUGGGUUUCUGCUCAGCCUCUGUGGCCUUGGACCAGCUUCUGGGAAAGAGCCCCUGCCUGGCUACAGGCGCAAACACAGCCCUGCCUUUCACAAACAUUCAAUGGUGAGAUUGAGUUUGCAAUGCCGGCAGUUAGAAAAAGUGUCUCCAACUUGUAAACACAGCAAAUUUGAUCUGGAAGUCAUUGAGAAAACAUAAACACGGAACCUCACGCAGUCCUGUUUACACUCUUCCAGCCCUGGUGAAAGAUGAGCUCCUUAUGGAAGGAUUUUUUUUUUUCCAAAGGAGCUUUUCUUUUUAAAAUAAAAAUCCCAAGAAGUAUGUGUUGCCACCAAGACCAAAAUCCCAACAGAGACCACGAGUGCAUGAACAAGUGUUGCUUCAGCAGGUGACAAU